rnacentral:tRNA from 1 species
UUAGUUAAAACCAAAAUAGAGGUAUCUUACUGUUAAUGAGAUAAUUGAAUAAAUAUUCUAACUAAA